GAUGAAGAACGCAGCGAAAUGCGAUAAGUAAUGUGAAUUGCAGAAUUCAGUGAAUCAUCGAAUCUUUGAACGCACCUUGCGCCCUUUGGCCAUUCCGAAGGGCAUGCCUGUUUGAGUAUCAUGAACACCUCAACUCCUCAUGGUCUUCUAUGAUGAGCUUGGACUUUGGGGGCUUGCUGGCCCAUUUGGUCAGCUCCUCUCAAAUGAAUCAGCCUACCAGUGUUUGGUGGCACCACAGGUGUGAUAACAAUCUACGCUUGAGGUUUUCCACCAGGCAACCUUCAGUAAUUGGGGUUCACUGGGGCUCACAAAUGUCUUUCUUCAGUGAGGACAGCUCUUUGAAUGUUUGAUCUCAAAUCAGGCAGGACUACCCGCUGAACUUAAGCAUAUCAAUAAGCGGAGGA
rnacentral:misc_RNA from 1 species